GACGAACGCUGGCGGCGUGCUUAACACAUGCAAGUCGAACGGAAAGGCCCUGCUUUUGUGGGGUGCUCGAGUGGCGAACGGGUGAGUAACACGUGAGUAACCUGCCCUUGACUUUGGGAUAACUUCAGGAAACUGGGGCUAAUACCGGAUAGGAGCUCCUGCUGCAUGGUGGGGGUUGGAAAGUUUCGGCGGUUGGGGAUGGACUCGCGGGUUAUCAGAUUGUUGGUGGGGUAGUGGCUUACCAAGGCUUUGACGGGUAGCCGGCCUGAGAGGGUGACCGGCAACAAUGGGACUGAGAUACGGCCCAGACGACUACGGGAGGCAGCAGUGGGGAAUAUUGCACAAUGGGCGGAAGCCUGAUGCAGCAACGCCGCGUGCGGGAUGACGGCCUUCGGGUUGUAAACCGCUUUCGCCUGUGACGAAGCGUGAGUGACGGUAAUGGGUAAAGAAGCACCGGCUAACUACGUG
rnacentral:rRNA from 1 species